AUUGAACGCUGGCGGCAGGCCUAACACAUGCAAGUCGAGCGAGCGGAGGACGGGUGAGUAAUGUAUGGGGACUGCCCGAUAGAGGGGGAUAACUACUGGAAACGGUGGCUAAUACCGCAUACUAUCGGAUAACCCAUAUGGGAUUAGCUAGUAGGUGGGGUAAAGGCUCACCGAGGCGACGAUCUCUAGCUGGUCUGAGAGGAGGAUAUGCCACACGGGGACUUAGACACGGCCCAGACUCCUACGGAGGCAGCAGUGGGUAAUAGUGCACAAUGGGCGCAAGCCUGAUGCAGCCAUGCCGCUGGUAUGAAGAAGGCCUUAGGGUUGUAAAGUACUUUCAGCGGGGAGGCGUUACCCGCAGAAGAAGCACCGGCUAACUCCGUGCCAGCAGCCGCGGUAAUUC
rnacentral:rRNA from 1 species